rnacentral:misc_RNA from 1 species
GAAAUGGAGAGAUGAGGCUUCAAAGAAACUCAAGAACUAUUAAAUGGUGCUCUAAAAUGUUAAUGCAAACCCAGAAUAACACAUAUAUACGUGAAUGGCUCGGCAAGUGUGCCUACCUCUAUGGAUAGUCACAUGCUUUCUCUACUAUUAAAAGGAGAAUAAUAAAACCCUAUUUAUAGAGACUCUAGAGUUGCUCCUUAUAGGAAAACUCAAAAUUAUAAAAUAAGCCCCCAAAUAAUAGAACUGCCUUUGAUUAUUGUACUGCCCCUCCUCGCUGAACUUCCUUUUACCAGGGUCCUUUAGUGAACAAUAUUUUUUUCUUUAACAAAUAUGAGCCACGGAUCCAACAUGCCAAUUUUUUU